rnacentral:rRNA from 1 species
CCUACGGGAGGCAGCAGUGAGGAAUAUUGGUCAAUGGCCGGAAGGCUGAACCAGCCAUGCCGCGUGAAGGUCAGUGCCCUAUGGGCGUUAAACUUCUUUUGUGCGGGAGCAAUAAUGGUCACGUGUGGCCAGACGAGAGUACCGUACGAAUAAGCAUCGGCUAACUGCGUGCCAGCAGCCGCGGUAAUACGGGGGAUGCCAGCGUUAUCCGGAUUUAUUGGGUUUAAAGGGUGCGUAGGCUGUGAGGUAAGUCAGCGGUGAAAUGCCCGCGCUCAACGGGGUGAAGUGCCAUUGAUACUGCCUGGCUGGAAUGCGGAUGCGGUGGGAGGAAUGUGUGGUGUAGCGGUGAAAUGCAUAGAUAUCACACAGAACACCGAGUGCGAAGGCAUCUCACGAAUCCGCGAUUGACGCUGAUGCACGAAAGCGUGGGUAUCAAACAGGAUUAGAUACCCGGGUAGUC